GAUGAAGAACGUAGCGAAAUGCGAUACGUAAUGUGAAUUGCAGAAUUCAGUGAAUCAUCGAAUCUUUGAACACAUAUUGCGCUCUCUGGUAUUCCGGAGAGCAUGCUUGUUUGAGUAUCAGUAAACACCUCAACUUCCAUAUCUUUUUUGAAAUGGGAGUUGGACUUGAGUGAUCCCAACGCUUUUCCUCACCGAAAAGUGGCGGGUUACUUGAAAUGCAGGUGCAGCUGGACUUUUCUCUGAGCUAUAAGCAUAUCUAUUUAGUCUGCCUAAAAAACAGAUUAUUACCUUUGCUGCAGCUAACAUAAAGGAGAUUAGUUCUUGUGCUGACUGAUGCAGGAUUCACAAAGACAGGCUUCGGCCGACUUUGUAAACUCGAUCUCAAAUCAAGUAAGACUCCCCGCUGAACUUAAGCAUAUCAAUAAGCGGAGGA
rnacentral:misc_RNA from 1 species